UCACUUUACGAAUUUUGGAUAGAAAUUAUGGGGAUGUUCAUACUCUAAAGGUAACUUUCUUAUUUUUGGAAUUUGCAAUAGUCAUCAAUCCAUUUCAUUAUGGAAAUAUGACUUGUUAGGUAGUAUAUAAUGAGACUGAAUGUGAUUUUCUUUAAAAAAAAAUUAUAAUGAAGUGAAAGAUGAGAAAUAUAUUUCUAUCAUAAAGGAAAAAAGAAUAUUGGAAGAAUUUAUGCUUUAUUGUUAUCAUAGUAUUAAUGUAUAAGUUGAUUAUGUAAUCUUAAUCAUGUAGCCAUAAAUUGAUAUGGGUCUGAAAUGGUGUAAUCUACAUAUGUUGUAACCUUUAAUGUGUAAUGAUGUUUUUAAUGAACUUAUGUUGUUUCAAAAUUACA
rnacentral:lncRNA from 1 species